UAGGGAAUCUUAGUAAUGGGCGAAAGCCUGAACUAGCAACACCGCGUGUGCGAAGAAGGACUUCGGGUUGUAAAGCACUUUUUGAGAGGAUGAGGAAGGACGGUACUCUCAGAAUAAGUCUCGGCUAACUACGUGCCAGCAGCCGCGGUAACACGUAGGAGGCAAACGUUAUCCGGAUUUACUGGGCGUAAAGCGCGUGUAGGUGGUUCUGUAAGUAGGGCGUGAAGGCUCCUGGCUCAACUGGGAGAGGCCGUUCUAAACUACAGAACUAGAGGGUGGUAGAGGGAGGUCGAAUUCCAGGUGUAGCGGUGGAAUGCGCAGAUAUCUGGAGGAACACCAGUGGCGAAGGCGGCCUCCUGGACCAUUCCUGACACUCAGACGCGAAAGCUAGGGUAGCAAACG
rnacentral:rRNA from 1 species